CUUCUGCCCACUCUCACUGGCCAGAACUGGUUUCUAGGCAUGGCCCCUGAACAAAGAUGGAGAGAACUGCACGUUGGUGUGUACUAGUGACGGAUGCCAUACUCAGGAAGGGAGGGAGACAAGGAGGGUGGGAGAGAGGACCCUCUGGCCAGAAAGGCAAUGUGCUGGACACGGGGUCCUGGUCUGUUCUGGCUGCUACAAACUGGGUAGUUUACAAACAACAGAAAUUUAAGCUCCCAGUUCUGGAGGUUGGGAAGUGACAUCAAGUAGACUCAGCCUCUGGGGAGGGCCUCUUUCCUGCCUCUCACCAGGUCCCAGUAGAGGGCUCCGGGGGCUGCUCUAACAAGGGCACUGAUCUCAUCAUGAGAGCCACACCCAGCUCUCCUGUGCCAUCAUCAGGAGGAUAAUGGUGCCUCCCUAAUGGGAUUGCUGAGGGUGCACACACACAGAGUUGAGCACGCUGUGGGCUGAAUAAUGCCCUCCUCCCCCUGCAGAGAUGUCCACAUCCUAACCUUUGAUGCUGGUGGCUGUGUUAGCUACAUGAUGAAGGGGAGUUUGAGACAUCAUUCAGUGAAGGUUCUCUGUGGGGGAAAACUAUCCUGAUUAUCCGUAUGGGUCCAAGGUCGUCACAAGGACCCUUGGAAGAAGGCGGUACAGGAUCAGAUGCGUCUAAGAGUUCUUCGUGCAGUACAGAUGCCAGUCCUUUGGUGGAUAUGUGGCUCGCAAAGAUUUCCUAACACUCUGUAGCUGUCUUCUUUCCUUUGUCCAUGAGGCCCUUUGCAGAGCCAAAGCUUUGAGUUUUGUGAAGUUCAGUUUAUCAGAUGGAGAACAGACCAGUGGUCGUGAAGAGUCAGGGGGAGGACAGCGUGACUGUCAAGGCACAACACGGGGGUCCUGCCAGUGUCGGAUACACUCGUCUCCUGCUGGUGUUGCCGUCGCUGUCUUGGUCAUAACAUGGGAUCCCAGCUUUGCCAUGGGUCACUACUGGGAGGGAUAGGUAAUGGGCGCUCAGAGUCUUUCCACACCAGUUCUUGCAUGUGAAUCUUCAGCGAUAUUGAGAUUGAAAGGUUAAAGCAUUACGCAUGC